GUGAAAGACAAAAGUUUAAGACAAAACUAAAGGAUUUCUAAUUCAAGGACAGCAAGAGGUCAUUAGAAAAGUGAAUGAGACCAACCACUUUAUUGUCCUUAUAACAAUUAUGGAUUUUCUAAUGUUAGGCAACUAGGUGGUUGUAGAAUUUCUACAUUAAUAGAACAUCACUAUGCAAUAAUGAUCAUGGCUUCUAUUUUCCCCCAACAAGAUUGUCAUUGAAAUAAUGAAAGCUUAUGAAAGAAUAGAAAGGAAAUUUUAUAGAAGAAGAAAAUAGGACCCAUGACAGAGCACUGGGGGAUUUCCAUGGUUAAUGGGUAUGAUAGAGGUGAAGAUCGAGCAAAGGAGACAGAAAAAAAGUUCAGACAUGCAGAAGAACUGGAAGAGAGCUGUUUCAUGAAAACCUAUAGAGAAGAGAGCAUCCAGGAGGAGAGUAAUUGACAAUUUUAAAGGCUAUAGAGAGGUCAAGAGAAUUGAAGAUCAAGAAAAGGCUGUGAGAUUUGCCAAUUAAGAUAUCAUCCCUAGCUUUGGAGAGAGCAGUUUUAUUUGAAUAAUGAGGUCAGAAGUUAGAGCAAAGGGAGUUAAGAAGAAAGGAAAGAAAAUAUUGGCACCUGUUAAAGAUGAUUUUUUCAAACGAGUUUAUUAAGAAAUAGAAGAAGAGGUAGAUAAAGCAAUGAAAAGCUUGGUAACUUAUAUCCAUGCUGAAUUCUCUUAUUAGGAUAUUAGCACAUCAAGCACAUAUUCUCUCCUUUUAUCUCUCUCUUUCCACCUUCUGGAGAUGGCAAGUAAUAUGAUAUACAUAAGUGAUGGUGAAUCUUUUAGAAAGGUGGGAGAUGUCCUCAGGUGCACAUGGAGAAGAGGAGGGCAGCAGCCUCUAGCAUUUCUACAACAAGAUUGAAGAAUUGUGCUAAUAAUAAUGGACAUCUCUGCUUCACCUCUGAUUUUAUUGCAUGCUCAGAAGACCUGACGUGGGCAAAACAUUGUAAAAACAUAGAGGAAAGUGAAAGGAAGUGGAUUAAAUAAUUUACAAUUUAUUUCCUUAAAGAGUAAUUAUUGAGCCUGGGACAAAUAGCACAAAAGCUAUUCAAAAAAAUCAGCACCUUAGCUAACUAAUGGCAGAGUGUAGAUGAAAGAACUCACUCAUGGUAAUCAAUUCUUAAAGACGGUUUCCAAAAUAAAAGCAUAAAAAUGGAACCUUUUAGUUUUAAC
rnacentral:lncRNA from 1 species